UACGGGGGGGGCAAGCGUUGUUCGGAAUUACUGGGCGUAAAGGGCUCGUAGGUGGCCAACUAAGUCAGACGUGAAAUCCCCAGGCUCAACUUGGGAACUGCGUGUGAUACUGGAUGGCUUGGAUUUGGGAGAGGGAUGCGGAAUUCCAGGUGUAGCGGUGAAAUGCGUAGAUAUCUGGAGGAACACCGGUGGCGAAGGCGGCAUCCUGGACCAAUAUUGACGCUGAGGAGCGAAAGCCAGGGGAGCAAACGGG
rnacentral:rRNA from 1 species